AUGAUAAUAAUACAUUUUCCACACAUCUCUUUUUAUUCUCACAGAAAGCUUACCACCAGUUACAGAGUCAUGGCCACGUUAUCUAACCCAGGAGCUGUAUCCUUCACUGCAGUUCUCAAGGAAAGAGCACACUUUGGGAGUUUGAAAUAUAAGAGUUCUAGUACUCUCUUACACUCUUUAAAAAAGUCACUCGACAGCUUUCUCCUGUCAGAUUUUCCUACUGAAAAGAGCUCAUUGGAAAACAAGAAUGGAAAAGCCAUGGGUUACCUCCUGAAUGUCUGGGGACCCCACCGACUCCCUGGAGGCUUGACUCCAUGCUGAUGGUUCACAUACGAACUUGGCCGUCUUGGGAUCUGCACCAACUCCAGCAGUUAAUUGGAGCAUUUGUCUGAAUGGGCAUCCAAAGGGGAAUAGAAUAUCUUUCCUUAAAAAAAAAAAAAGAAUAUCUUUCCUUCAUUGCACUUGAUCCAAAAUUAUACUGCCCAGG
rnacentral:lncRNA from 1 species